rnacentral:rRNA from 1 species
AUGAAGGGUCCGGUGGUCGUGCUUCUGGGCCUUGUCAUCGUCGGUGCCAUUGGUGCUAGCAGCGCUGAUGCGCGGCGGCCGGUGAUGCCGGCGAUAUUCGUGCUGGGGGACUCGACGCUGGAUGUGGGCAACAACAACCACCUGCCCGGAAAGGACGUUCCCAGGGCCAACGAGCCUUUCUAUGGCAUCGACUUCCCCGGUGGCGCCCAGGCCACUGGGAGGUUCAGCAACGGCUACAACAUCGCCGAUUUCGUCGCGAGGCAGCUGGGGUUCGAGAGGAGCCCUUUGGCUUACCUAGUGCUGAAAUCUCGCAACUAUCUCAUCCCCAGCGCUCUGAAGAGAGGGGUGAGCUACGCUUCCGCGGGAUCCGGUAUCCUCGACUCCACUAACGCGGGAAAGAACAUCCCGCUGUCAAAGCAGGUGAGCUACUUCGCGUCAACAAAGGCCGAGAUGGAGGCCGUGUGGGGCAGCCAUAAAGUCACCAAGCUUCUGGCCAGCUCCUUCUUCCUCCUGGGCUUCGGCAGCAACGACCUCUUCCAGAGCAGACCAAAGUCCCAAGCCGAUGUUGCCGCACUCUAUGCAACCCUCGUCUCGAACUACUCCGCCGCCAUCACUGACCUGUAUGGGAUGGGCGCCAGAAAAUUUGGGAUCAUCAGCCCUGGCCCAGUGGGGUGUGUGCCGCGGGUGCGCCUGUUGAACGCGACGGGCGCCUGCAACGAUGGCAUGAACCGCCUCACUGUCGGGCUCGCCGCGGCGUUCAAGUCUGGCCUGGCCACAACCCUCAGCCCAACGAGGCUCCCAGGCCUCAUGUACUCCCUUGCCGACUCCUUCGCCGGCACGCGGGCCAACUUCGACAACCCCCAAGCGGCCGGGUUCAUGAACGCUGAUAGCGCGUGCUGCGGGAGCGGUAGGCUGGGCGCGGAGGGUGAGUGCAUGAGGAACGCGACAGUGUGCAGUGACCGCGAUGCAUAUGCUUUCUUUGACAACGUGCACCCAAGCCAGCGGGCCGCCGAACUAGGUGCGCAGGCUCUCUUCGUGGACGGCCCGACUCAGAUCACCACACCCAUCAGCUUCAAGGAGCUAGCCCACCAGAGAUGA